GAUGAAGAACGUAGCGAAAUGCGAUAAGUAAUGUGAAUUGCAGAAUUCAGUGAAUCAUCGAAUCUUUGAACGCACAUUGCGCCCGCCAGCAUUCUGGCGGGCAUGCCUGUUCGAGCGUCAUUUCAACCCUCGAGCCCCCCCGGGGGCCUCGGUGUUGGGGGACGGCACACCAGCCGCCCCCGAAAUGCAGUGGCGACCCCGCCGCAGCCUCCCCUGCGUAGUAGCACACACCUCGCACCGGAGCGCGGAGGCGGUCACGCCGUAAAACGCCCAACUUUCUUAGGGUUGACCUCGGAUCAGGUAGGAAUACCCGCUGAACUUAAGCAUAUCAAUAAGCGGAGGA
rnacentral:misc_RNA from 1 species